UUCAGCAGCCAUAUCACCCUGCAACUCACAACUGGCAGCCCACUGAAGCUCAGCAGGUGUGAGCCUGGUCAGUACCUGGAUGGGAGACCUCCUGGGAAAAAUUAAGGUUGCUGCUGGAA
ensembl:rRNA 5S_rRNA 5S ribosomal RNA